AAAAGCUACCCCGGGGAUAACAGGCUAGUCUUGCCCAAGAGUUCACAUCGACGGCAAGGCUCGGCACCUCGAUGUCGGCUCAUCGCAUCCUGGGGCUGGAUAAGGUCCCAAGGGUUGGGCUGUUCGCCCAUUAAAGCGGUACGUGAGCUGGGUUCAGACCGUCGUGAGACAGGUCGGUCUCUAUCCGCUGUGGGCGUAGGGAGUUUGAGGGGAACUGCCUCUAGUACGAGAGGACCGAGGUGGACGAAGCGCCUGUGAGUCGGUUGUCACGCCAGUGGCACAGCCGAGUAGCAGUCUUCGGAGCUGAUAACCGCUGAAAGCAUCUAAGUGGGAAACAGACCUCAAGAUGAGACUCCCCAUUUCUUAAAGAAAGUAAGACCGCUGGGAGACAACCAGCUGGAUAGGCCGGGGUGUAAGGUCAGUAAUGACUGUAGCCGACCGGUACUAAUGGUCGAGGG
rnacentral:rRNA from 1 species